rnacentral:lncRNA from 1 species
AACCAAAACAACAACAGCAGAAAACCCUUUUGGCCGUGAGCCAAAGGAAAGGCUUGUGUGCUGCCAGAGGCAAAUGAACAUAGCCACCUCAUGCUUUGAGUUUGGCCAAAAGGCCCAGGGAAAAUGCCCCACUACUAAGCUUGAAGACAGAUUCUCAUUAGAGUCGGAGAGAAGCACUUGUCCCACAACUCUGCAAGCGAGGAGUCAGGGCAACAAGGAGAGAGAAUUCUGAGAAGAGAGGAAAAAGCAAAGCAGCAGGAGAGCUGGAGGAAAGGGGAGCAGAGGAACCAACAAACCAGCAAUCCGCAGCUAACCAGCUAAGCCCAGCUCUCUAGCUGGGGGCAGAGACCAGAUCCUGCAAGCAUCAGGUAAGCCCAGAUGUGACCAAGCCCAAGUGCUGAUAGCUACCCUACAGACAUCAAGGGUGAGACGUCCACACUCCUUCCUAGCUUUAAAUACGGUUCAGGGGAUCUGCUCAAAAGAUGACACCCACUUUGCAAAGCAUGCAAAGAAGGAAUCCAGGCUGCAGCUCUGAAGGCUCCAUGAUGAACAACUGUAACGAGGAG